CGGUCGGUUGAGCAAGUGAAAGCCGCAGCCCGGCUGGUUUCCGCGCUCGCGUCGCCAUCACCUCCGCGAAGCCCCUGUAGCCCCGCUUGCGCCGCGUCGGAAUGAGCUCCAGGAAAGUGUUGCCCAUUCAGGCCCAAAAGCGGAGGCCGAAAAGAGAGAAACACCCUACAAAGCUGGAGCCUCAACAGAAAGCUCCUUUAGUUCUUUCUCCUCCACCUCCACCACCACCACCGCCACCUUUGGCAGACCCCACACCACCAGAGCCAAAGGAGGAGAUCCUGGAUCAGAUGAUGAGCAAGAGGACCCUGCGGACUACUGCAAAGGUGGCUAUCAUCCAGUGAAAAUUGCAGACCUCUUCAAUGGCCGGUAUCAUGUUAUUAGAAAGCUUGGAUGGGGGCACUUCUCUACUGUCUGGCUGUGCUGGGAUAUGUAGGGGAAAAGAUUUGUUGCAAUGAAAGUUGUAAAAAGUGCUCAGCGUGAUACAGACACAGCCUUGGAUGAAAUAAAAUUGCUCAAAUGUGUUCGAGAAAGUUAUCCCAGUGACCCAAACAAAGACAUGGUGAUCCAGCUCGUUGACUUCAAGAUUUCAGGCAUGAAUGGGAUACAUGUCUGCAUGGUCUUGGGAGUACUUGGCCACCAUCUCCUCAACUGGAUCAUCAAGUUCAACUAUCAAGGCCUCCCACCCAGUACGUUGUCUGAAGAGUAUCAUUUGACAUUUCCUUCAAGGGUUAGAAUAUCUACACAGUAAGACCAAGAUUACUCAUACUGACAUAAAGCCGCAAAACAUCUUGAUGUGUAUGGAUGAUGCAUAUGUGAGAAGAACGGCAGCUGAGACCACUGAGGGGCAGAAAGCAGGUAUUCCUCCUCCUUCAGGGUCUGCAGUGAGUACGGCUCCACAGCAGAAACCUAUAGGAAAAAUAUCUAAAAACAAAAAGAAAAAACUGAAAAAUAAACAGAAGAGGCAGGCUGAGUUAUUGGAAAAACGCCUGCAGGAGAUAGAAGAAUUGGAGCAAGAAGCCGAAAGGAAAAUAAUAGAAGAAAACAUCACCUCAGCUGCACCUUCCAAUGAGCAGGAUGGGGAAUACCCUUUUCUUAACUUG
rnacentral:lncRNA from 1 species